rnacentral:rRNA from 1 species
UACGGAGGGAGCGAGCGUUGUUCGGAAUUACUGGGCGUAAAGCGUGCGCAGGCGGUCUUAUAAGUCAGAAGUGAAAGCCCUGGGCUCAACCCAGGAAUUGCUUUUGAAACUGCAAGACUAGAGUAUCGGAGAGGUUGGCGGAAUUCCAAGUGUAGAGGUGAAAUUCGUAGAUAUUUGGAGGAACACCAGUGGCGUAAGCGGCCAACUAGACGAUAACUGACGCUCAGGCACGAAAGCGUGGGGAUCAAACAGG